rnacentral:rRNA from 1 species
AGGGCGCACGGUGGAUGCCUUGGUACUAGGAGCCGAAGAAGGACGGAACUAACACCGAUAUGCUUUGGGGAGCUGUAAGUAAGCUAAGAUCCAAAGAUUUCCGAAUGGGGGAACCCAACACCUUUCAUAGGGUGUUACCAAUGAGUGAAUACAUAGCUCAUUAGGAGGUACACGCAGGGAACUGAAACAUCUCAUUACCUGCAGGAAGAGAAAGAAAAAUCGAUUCCCUGAGUAGCGGCGAGCGAAACGGGAGGAGCCCAAACCAACGAGCUUGCUUGUUGGGGUUGUAGGACUAGAACGUGAGAAGAAAUCAAGAUAGCAGAAGUGGUCUGGAAAGGCCCAUCAAAGAAGGUGACAAUCCUGUACGCGACAUUUUGAUGAACUCUACUAGCAUCCUGAGUACGGCGGGACACGAGGAAUCCCGUCGGAAUCCGCCAGGACCAUCUGGCAAGGCUAAAUACUACCUAGUGACCGAUAGUGAACCAGUACCGUGAGGGAAAGGUGAAAAGAACCCCGGGAGGGGAGUGAAAGAGUACCUGAAACCGUGUGCUUACAAGUAGUCAGAGCCCGUUAAUGGGUGAUGGCGUGCCUUUUGUAGAAUGAACCGGCGAGUUACGUUUACAUGCGAGGUUAAGAUGAAGAGUCGGAGCCGUAGCGAAAGCGAGUCUGAAUAGGGCGCAUGUAGUAUGUGGACGUAGACCCGAAACCAAGUGAUCUACCCAUGUCCAGGUUGAAGGUGCGGUAAAACGCACUGGAGGACCGAACCAGGGCACGUUGAAAAGUGCUUGGAUGACUUGUGGGUAGCGGAGAAAUUCCAAACGAACUUGGAGAUAGCUGGUUCUCUCCGAAAUAGCUUUAGGGCUAGCGUCGACAUUAGAGAUUCUUGGAGGUAGAGCACUGUUUGGGUGAGGGGUCCAUCCCGGAUUACCAAUCUCAGAUAAACUCCGAAUGCCAAUGAAUUAUGGUCGGCAGUCAGACUGCGAGUGCUAAGAUCCGUAGUCGAAAGGGAAACAGCCCAGACCACCAGCUAAGGUCCCAAAAUAAUUGUUAAGUGGAAAAGGAUGUGGGGUUGCACAGACAACUAGGAUGUUAGCUUAGAAGCAGCUAUUCAUUCAAAGAGUGCGUAAUAGCUCACUAGUCGAGUGACCCUGCGCCGAAAAUGUACCGGGGCUAAAACAAUUUACCGAAGCUGUGGAUACCUUUAUAGGUAUGGUAGGAGAGCGUUCUAUGUGUGGAGAAGGUAUACCGUGAGGAGUGCUGGAACGCAUAGAAGUGAGAAUGCCGGUAUGAGUAGCGAAAGACAGGUGAGAAUCCUGUCCACCGUAAGACUAAGGUUUCCAGGGGAAGGCUCGUCCGCCCUGGGUUAGUCGGGACCUAAGGAGAGACCGAAAGGUGUAUCCGAUGGACAACAGGUUGAUAUUCCUGUACUAGAGUAUGUAGUGAUGGAGGGACGCAGUAGGCUAACUAAAGCAGACGAUUGGAAGUGUCUGUCUAAGCAGUGAGGUGUGAAUUGAGUUAAAUGCUUAAUUCUAUAACAUUGAGCUGUGAUGGGGAGCGAAGUUUAGUAGCGAAGUUAGUGACGUCACACUGCCAAGAAAAGCUUCUAGCGUUUAAACAUACUCUACCCGUACCGCAAACCGACACAGGUAGUCGAGGCGAGUAGCCUCAGGUGAGCGAGAGAACUCUCGUUAAGGAACUCGGCAAAAUGACCCCGUAACUUCGGGAGAAGGGGUGCUGGUAGCAAUACCAGCCGCAGUGAAUAGGCCCAGGCGACUGUUUAUCAAAAACACAGGUCUCUGCAAAAUCGAAAGAUGACGUAUAGGGGCUGACGCCUGCCCGGUGCUGGAAGGUUAAGAGGAGAGGUUAGCGCAAGCGAAGCUUUGAAUUGAAGCCCCAGUAAACGGCGGCCGUAACUAUAACGGUCCUAAGGUAGCGAAAUUCCUUGUCGGGUAAGUUCCGACCCGCACGAAAGGCGUAAUGAUUUGGGCACUGUCUCAACGAGAGACUCGGUGAAAUUUUAGUACCUGUGAAGAUGCAGGUUACCCGCGACAGGACGGAAAGACCCCAUGGAGCUUUACUGUAGUUUGAUAUUGAGUGUUUGUGUCACAUGUACAGGAUAGGUAGGAGCUGAAGAAUCCGGGACGCCAGUUUCGGAGGAGGCAACGGUGGGAUACUACCCUUGUGACAUGACCACUCUAACCCGCACCCCUUACCGGGGUGGGAGACAGUGUCAGACGGGCAGUUUGACUGGGGCGGUCGCCUCCUAAAAUGUAACGGAGGCGCCCAAAGGUUCCCUCAGAAUGGUUGGAAAUCAUUCGUAGAGUGUAAAGGCAGAAGGGAGCUUGACUGCGAGACCUACAAGUCGAGCAGGGACGAAAGUCGGGCUUAGUGAUCCGGUGGUUCCGUAUGGAAGGG